rnacentral:rRNA from 1 species
GACAGAGGGUGCAAACGUUGUUCGGAAUUACUGGGCGUAAAGCGCGUGUAGGCGGUAAGGCAAGUCGGGUGUGAAAGCCCUGGGCUCAACUCAGGAAGUGCAUUCGAUACUGCCAAGCUAGAGUCCCGGAGAGGAUGGUGGAACUCUCGGUGUAGAGGUGAAAUUCGUAGAUAUCGAGAAGAACACCGGUGGCGAAGGCGGCCAUCUGGACGGUGACUGACGCUGAGACGCGAAAGCGUGGGGAG